UACGAAGGGGGCUAGCGUUGCUCGGAAUCACUGGGCGUAAAGGGCGCGUAGGCGGCGUUUUAAGUCGGGGGUUAAAGCCUGUGGCUCAACCACAGAAUGGCCUUCGAUACUGGGACGCUUGAGUAUGGUAGAGGUUGGUGGAACUGCGAGUGUAGAGGUGAAAUUCGUAGAUAUUCGCAAGAACACCGGUGGCGAAGGCGGCCAACUGGACCAUUACUGACGCUGAGGCGCGAAAGCGUGGGGAGCAAACAGG
rnacentral:rRNA from 1 species